GAUGAACGCUGGCGGCGUGCCUAAUACAUGCAAGUCGAACGAACAGACGAGGAUCUUGCUCCUCUCACGUUAGCGGCGGACGGGUGAGUAAAACGUGGAUAACCUACCUAUAAGACUUGGAUAACUUCGAGAAACCGGAGCUAAUACCGGAUAAUAUAUUGAACCGCAUGGGUCAGUAGUGAAAGGCGGUUUGGCUGUCACUUAUCGAUUGAUCCGCGGCGCAUUAGCUUGUUGGUAAGGUAACGGCUUACCAAGGCAACGAUGCGUGGCCGACCUGAGAGGGUGAUCGGCCACACUGGAACUGAGACACGGUACAGACACCUACGGGAGGCAGAAGUAGGGAAUCGACCGAAAUGGGCGAAAGACUGACGGAGCAACGGAGCGUGAGUGAUGAAGGUCUUCGGAUCGUAAAACUCUGUUAGUAGGGAAGAACAAAUGUGUAAGUAACUAUGCACGUCUUGACGGUACCUAAUAAGAAAGCCACGGCUAACUACGUG
rnacentral:rRNA from 1 species